UACGUAGGUGGCAAGCGUUAUCUGGAUUUAUUGGGUUUAAAGGGUGCGCAGGUUGUUUGAUAAGUCAGUGGUGAAAGUCUGUCGCUUAACGGUAGGAUUGCCAUUGAUACUGUUAGACUUGAAUAUGGGUGAGGUAGGCGGAAUGUGUAGUGUAGCGGUGAAAUGCAUAGAUAUUACACAGAACACCGAUUGCGAAGGCAGCUUACUAAUCCAUCAUUGACGCUGAGGCACGAAAGCGUGGGGAUCAAACAGGA
rnacentral:rRNA from 1 species